rnacentral:rRNA from 1 species
GGCGGGGCCACGGGGGGAGGAAAGUAGGGGAUCGCAAGACCUCUCACUAUUGGAGCGGCCGAUGUCUGAUUAGCUAGUUGGCGGGGUAAAAGCCCACCAAGGCGACGAUCAGUAGCUGGUUUGAGAGAACGACCAGCCACACUGGGACUGAGACACGGCCCAGACUCUACGGGAGGCAGCAGUGGGGAAUUUUGGACAAUGGGGGCAACCCUGAUCCAGCCAUGCGCGUGCGGGAAGAAGGCUUCGGGUUGUAAACCGCUUUUGUCAGGGAAGAAAUGGACUUUUCUAAUACAAGAGUUCGAUGACGGUACCUGGAGAAUAAGCACCGGCUAACUACGUGCCAGCAGCCGCGGUAAUACGUAGGGUGCAAGCGUUAAUCGGAAUUACUGGG